AAUAUGUAAAAAGAGAUGUAUAUGAAGCGAGAUAAGUGAAGUGAUCACAAGUAUGAAAAAUUUCGAAAAUGAUUAUAAAUUGCGGCGUCUGACUUGUUCGAUAAUCAAACGACGAAGGGAUCUUUUUUCUUUAUUGCCACGACCACCACUACCAGCCUAUUUGUAGCUCUCUACUGCGUCUACUACUUUUCUGCUAACUGAUCGUUGUGCCCGAUUCCGAGCAACCUUUAUCGUUUCAAUAUUUUUUUAUCUUUUUUAUUCUUUGUUUACACACACACACACGCAUAAUAUUUUUAUUUCCUUUUUUCGUUUACGACAACUUGGGGUCCUGAACUAUUUUUGCUCGGACUCGAGGUAGUCGUAAAAACAUACUAUCUAAAAUUCUAAUGAUUUACUUUGAUGAAAAAUACUUUGAUGAAUAUAACCGAGCACGGACGUUUUUUCUUUCUACAUUUUUCUUUUUGAUUAUAACGAACGCCUCCUGCGCAUAAUUCGAAUUAUGCAUGAUCUUUCCACGAUGAUCGAUAUUCUUACAUUUGUAAGAAACGUCCGUUCUCGGUACAUUUAUGUACAUACGAAAUUAUGAGUGACAUAUCGACGAUUCGAUCGGACAUUGAUGCAGCAUUAUGAGUCGACGUGCAUAGCGAGGAGGUUAUCGCGUACGCACGAACGGUGCAUAAGUACGACAAUAAUCAUUGAUCUAAAUUAUUUAUUCCUUCUGACCGAUCGAUCGUUAUCGAUGUGAAAAUUUCGACUUUGUUACUUCUACGAGUGGAAAUUUUCAAUAAAUGCAUGUUUUUUCUUUUUUUUUUUUUCGAUAACAACAAUGUCUUCUAUAAUAUGCUAUGUACAAUACGCUUAUGCGUCCCGUAAGUUCGUUUGCCAUAACCUCGACCAUCUUUGGCCUUCCGUAUUUGCAAGAUAAAUACGCUUUCGAAAGAACUAAGAAAAAAAAAAAAAAAAAAAUAAAUAAAUAAAAGAAAAAUAAAAAUAAAAGGGAGAGAACGUACACCGAGAGAUAAGAUCGAGGAGAUAAGAUCGAUUCGAAAAAUCAAUUAUACGCUUUUAUCGAACAAGAAAAUGAAAAAAAAAAAAAAAACAAAAAAAAAAAGAAAAAAUAAAUAAAAAGAUUAUCUACGAUAUGCAGUGUGCACGUUCCCGCCAUUUUUCAAUACCAAUCACAUUUUUUUUUUCCCUUUAUUUCCUGGAUGAGAAUGUUUGUAGGCUGAACGAACUUACGACGGAAUUACAGACUUUACCUGAGCACUGGGAGUUCGUCGAAAGCUGGCUGCAGGUCUUGAUAGGACACACGAUUCUUAUGUCUACAAGCAAUAUGUUAUACACCCCGUUCGUAAUUAAAAUUGACGUGGCAUGGAGAUUCUUAAGGCAUAAAAAAGAAGCGGUUGCGUAGGCGCCAAAGAGGAUUAAAUUGUGCGACGACGCAAAAAACUAAUGUCUUCUAGUUUAUCUAGUUUCCCACGUAGUUACGUACUUACUUACGUAUCUACGUAAUCUACGUACCCACGUAUGUAUCUAUUUACUUAGCUAUAAUUUUUCCAUCAUAUUUGUAUUCUAUAUUUUAUCUUAACACAUCGCCGAACUUAAUCCUCGCGAGAGCGAUAAUCGUUUAAGAGGAUCAACCGUCUCCUUUCUCUCCAUCCUGUUUCGUUCCUCUUCGUUUUCAUCUCUUUAUCCUAUUCCCCCUUAUCCCCCCCACCGUGAACUCUUUCUCUCUCUCUCUCUCUCUCUCUUUCUCUCUCUCUCUCUGUCUUUCCUCUUCGUUUUGAUUGGUUUCACGAUCUUUAAAGGAGCAGCCCAACGUUCGAGAAAUCAUUUUGGUCCUGACAGUCCUCGUGUCAAGGUGGAAAUGAGAGAUCGAUGGUAUAUUAGGACUCUUCUCGAUGAUAUUCUUCUUACCGUCGUCGCGCUCGCCAUCGCAAUUCGUAAUGGGAUGAUGCGCGUUCAGCGCUGGGCCACCACCACAGACGGCCGCUCGCCGAACGUCUCGUUCUGAUGUCAC